rnacentral:rRNA from 1 species
CUCGCGUGACAUUAGCUAGUUGGUAGGGUAACGGCUUACCAAGGCGACGAUGUCUAGGGGCUCUGAGAGGAGAAUCCCCCACACUGGUACUGAGACACGGACCAGACUCCUACGGGAGGCAGCAGUAAGGAAUAUUGGUCAAUGGGCGGAAGCCUGAACCAGCCAUGCCGCGUGCAGGAUGACUGCCCUAUGGGUUGUAAACUGCUUUUGUCCAGGAAUAAACCUUUAUACGUGUAGGAAGCUGAAUGUACUGGAAGAAUAAGGAUCGGCUAACUCCGUGCCAGCAGCCGCGGUAAUACGGAGGAUCCGAGCGUUAUCCGGAUUUAUUGGGUUUAAAGGGUGCGUAGGCGGCCUAUUAAGUCAGGGGUGAAAUACGGUGGCUCAACCAUCGCAGUGCCUUUGAUACUGAUGGGCUUGAAUCCAUUUGAAGUGGGCGGAAUAAGACAAGUAGCGGUGAAAUGCAUAGAUAUGUCUUAGAACUCCGAUUGCGAAGGCAGCUCACUAAGCUGGUAUUGACGCUGAUGCACGAAAGCGUGGGGAUCGAACAGGAUUAGAUACCCUGGUAGUCCACGCCCUAAACGAUGAUAACUCGAUGUUGGCGAUAGACAGCCAGCGUCCAAGCGAAAGCGUUA